rnacentral:tRNA from 1 species
GCAGUGGCGGUUCAGUGAUAGAAUUCUGGCCUUCUAUGGAAGGGGCCUGGGUUUUAUUCCCAGCCAAUGCA